rnacentral:rRNA from 1 species
GGUCAAGUUAUUAAGGGUGCAGGGUGGAUGCCUUGGCACUAGGAGCCGAUGAAGGACGUGAUAAGCUGCGAUAAGCUUCGGGGAGUUGCACGUAAACUUUGAUCCGAAGAUUUCCGAAUGAGGAAACUCACUUAGAGUAAUGUCUAAGUAUCAUUAAGUGAAUACAUAGCUUAAUGAGGGGAACUCAGGGAACUGAAACAUCUAAGUACCUGAAGGAAGAGAAAGAAAUUCGAUUCCGUAAGUAGCGGCGAGCGAACGCGGAUUAGCCCAAACCAAUAAAGUUUUCUUUAUUGGGGUUGCGGACAUAUCAUAACGAAGAGGUAUCGUAAUUGAAGAGGUUUGGAAAGACCCACCACAGAAGGUAAUAGUCCUGUAUGUUAAACGAGAAGACUUCAGAUAUGAUCCAGAGUACCACGGGACACGUGAAACCCUGUGGGAAGCAGGAGGGACCACCCUCCAAGGCUAAAUACUACCUAGUGACCGAUAGCGUAUAGUACCGUGAGGGAAAGGUGAAAAGAACCCCGGGAGGGGAGUGAAAUAGAACCUGAAACCCUGCACUUACAAGCUGUGGAAGCACAUUUCUUGUGUGACCGCGUACUUUUUGUAGAACGGGCCAACGAGUUACGUUAAGUAGCAAGGUUAAGCACUUAAGGUGCGGAGCCGUAGCGAAAGCGAGUUUUAACUGAGCGUUCAGUUACUUGACGUAGACCCGAAACCGGGCGACCUACCCAUGAGCAGGAUGAAGCGAAAGUAAAAUUUCGUGGAGGUCCGAACCCACGAGCGUUGAAAAGCUCGGGGAUGACUUGUGGGUAGCGGUGAAAUUCCAAUCGAGCCCGGAGAUAGCUGGUUCUCCCCGAAAUAGCUUUAGGGCUAGCCUCAAGGUGAGAGAUACGGAGGUAGAGCACUGAAUGUCCUAGGGGGUAUUGCACCUACCGAAGACUAUCAAACUCCGAAUGCCGUCAUCUUAUACUUGGGAGUCAGACUGUGGGUGAUAAGAUUCAUAGUCGAAAGGGCAACAGCCCAGAUCGUCAGCUAAGGUCCCUAAAUGUAAGUUAAGUGGUAAAGGAUGUGGGAUUGCACAGACAACCAGGAUGUUGGCUUAGAAGCAGCCACUCAUUCAAAGAGUGCGUAAUAGCUCACUGGUCGAGUGAUCCUGCGCCGAAGAUUUCCGGGGCUAAAACUUACUACCGAAGCUACGGCAUCAGUAAUGAUGGGUAGGGGAGCUUCCCAUACGGGUUGAAGCAUGACCGUAAGGACAUGUGGACAGUAUGGGAGUGAGAAUGUUGGCAUGAGUAGCGAGAUGUGGGUGAGAAUCCCACAGGCCGUAAACCCAAGGUUUCCAGGGGAAGGUUCGUCCGCCCUGGGUUAGUCGGGACCUAAGCUGAGGCCGAAAGGCGUAGGUGAUGGACAACAGGUUGAUAUUCCUGUACUACCGAUAACCGUUUGAGAGAAGGGAUGACACAGUAGGAUAAGCUAAGCACACUGUUGGUUAUGUGUGCCCAAGCAUUGAGGCAGUCAAAGUAGGCAAAUCCGCUUUGAUAAUGCUGGGAUGUGAUGGGGAGCGAAAUUUAGUAGCGAAGUAGCUGAUUUCACACUGUCAAGAAAAGUCUCUAUCGAGGUUAAAGGUACCCGUACCGCAAACCGACACAGGUGGGUGAGGAGAGUAUCCUAAGGCCAGCGAGAGAACUGUUGUUAAGGAACUCGGCAAAAUGACCCCGUAACUUAGGGAUAAGGGGUGCCACCAUCAGGUGGCCGCAGAGAAUAGGCCCAAGCGACUGUUUACCAAAAACAUAGGUUUCUGCUAAGUCGCAAGACGAUGUAUAGGAGCUGACGCCUGCCCGGUGCUGGAAGGUUAAGGGGAUCUGUUAGAGCAAUCGAAGCAGUGAACUUAAGCCCCAGUAAACGGCGGCCGUAACUAUAACGGUCCUAAGGUAGCGAAAUUCCUUGUCGGGUAAGUUCCGACCCGCACGAAAGGCGUAACGAUUUGGGCACUGUCUCAACAACAGACUCGGUGAAAUUGUAAUUCCGGUGAAGAUGCCGGAUACCUGCGACAGGACGGAAAGACCCCAUGGAGCUUUACUGUAGCUUGACAUUGGGUCUUGGUACUACAUGUACAGGAUAGGUGGGAGGCUUUGAAACCAGGACGCCAGUUUUGGCGGAGCCAUCCUUGGGAUACCACCCUUGUAGUACUGGGACUCUAACCAUAGGCCAUGAAUCUGGUCUUGGGACACUGUCAGGUGGGCAGUUUGACUGGGGCGGUCGCCUCCCAAAAGGUAACGGAGGCGCUCAAAGGUUCUCUCAGUACGGUCGGAAAUCGUACGUAGAGUGUAAAGGCAAAAGAGAGCUUGAUUGCAAGACAUACAGGUCGAGCAAGGAUGAAAAUCGGACUUAGUGAUCCGGUGGUUCUGCGUGGAAGGGCCAUCGCUCAACGGAUAAAAGCUACCCUGGGGAUAACAGGCUUAUCUCCCCCAAGAGUCCACAUCGACGGGGAGGUUUGGCACCUCGAUGUCGGCUCAUCACAUCCUGGGGCUGUAGUAGGUCCCAAGGGUUGGGCUGUUCGCCCAUUAAAGUGGUACGCGAGCUGGGUUCAGAACGUCGUGAGACAGUUCGGUCCCUAUCCGUCGCAGGCGUAGGAAAUUUGAGAAGACCUGUCCUUAGUACGAGAGGACCGGGAUGGACGUACCUCUGGUGUACCAGUUGUCCUGCCAAGGGCAUGGCUGGGUAGCUAUGUACGGAAUGGAUAAGCGCUGAAAGCAUCUAAGCGCGAAGCCAACUUCAAGAUAAGAUUUCCCACCGCAAGGGUAAGACCCCAGAAAGACUAUCUGGUUGAUAGGUCGAAGGUGUAAGUGCAGUAAUGUAUUUAGCUUAUCGAUACUAAUAGGUCGAGGACUUGACCAA